rnacentral:lncRNA from 1 species
CCUAAUUCAAUUUCUGGACUUAGUUUAUCAAAUUGUGAUCUGGUUGCCUCAAUAUUCUUGAUCCAGUUUGAGCUCAACCCCAAUUAGUUCAAAUUGAUCUAUGCAACUCAUACCAUCUUUGAUUUCUAUUGAUUAACCAUAACCAAAAGAAGUCAGUAAACCAGUACAAAGCAAAUUAAGGCAAGACAAUAAAACAUGGCAUAAGGGAAAUUAGAGCAAAACAAUAAAACAUGGCAGCAAGACACUCAAAUAAUAAUAACAAUAUCAAUAGAUCAUGGCUUGAAACAAGUAUCAAUUGAGGAUAGAAAGGGACCUCAGUAGUAACUUUAUUCAACGUAUCUCUACUUGAUCACAACAAUUACACGCAAGUCCGGUGAUGGCAAUUUAAUCGACAAACCAAAACAGCCAAAGAAAAACGCCGUGGAUCCGAGACGGAACCUCGAAACUUAAUUUCGAACAGCGGUAGUCAAAUACCACUCGACAAUCAACAACUCUUCCUCAGUCAAAUUCCAGAACCGAAAGUGAAAAGAAAAAUGAAAAUAUAUACAUAUUUUUUUGUAUUUCUCAGUUUGAAAUCAAAUUGAAAUUAGAUUGGACUGAAUUCUUUUUAUAUAAAAGAAAUUUAAUGAAGAAGUCAGAAAACAUAAAUCAUAAACCAAAACCAAGUCUUAGUUAAUCUUUUUCACUCCUGUUCCCCCUAUGUGUAUGUGCUCGAUCUGAACUAGAAGGGGGAACGAUGCGGCUGUUCUGUUGGAGGAAUUCGCGACAGUGAUAGAGGUACAGAGGGAGGUCUGGUCGCUGGUUAUUUGGAGAAGGGCUGGCGAUUUAAAGAGAUCAGGAGGGUGUGCGGCUGGUUUAGGUGUGUUGAGGAUGGUUGGUUGGCGUGGAGGUCUGGAGAUACAGAAAAAGGAAAGGUCUUUG